rnacentral:rRNA from 1 species
CACCGGCAGCUCUAGUGGUAGCUGUUUUUAUUGGGCCUAAAGCGUUCGUAGCCGGUUUAAUAAGUCUCUGGUGAAAUCCUAUAGCUUAACUGUGGGAAUUGCUGGAGAUACUAUUAGACUUGAGAUCGGGAGAGGUCAGAGGUACUCCUGGGGUAGGGGUGAAAUCCUGUAAUCCUAGGAGGACCACCUGUGGCGAAGGCGUCUGACUAGAACGAAUCUGACGGUGAGGAACGAAAGCUAGGGGCGCGAA